CCUCCCUUAGUGAGAGAGUUGCCACCGGAUCCCAUAAGAACUUCGGAGUUAAGCGUGCUCAGGUGGGAGUAGUCUUUGGAUGGGUGACCACUGGAUCCUUUGUGGCAUCCA
rnacentral:rRNA from 1 species